rnacentral:rRNA from 1 species
UACGUAGGGUGCGAGCGUUGCCCGGAUUUAUUGGGCGUAAAGAGCGUGUAGGCGGCCAGGGAGGUCCGUUGUGAAAACUCGAGGCUCAACCUCGAGACGCCGAUGGAAACCCCCUGGCUAGAGUCCGGAAGAGGAGAAUGGAAUUCCUGGUGUAGCGGUGAGAUGCGCAGAUAUCAGGAGGAACACCAAUGGCGAAGGCAGCACUCUGGGACGGUACUGACGCUGAGACGCGAAAGCGUGGGGAGCAAACAGG